rnacentral:rRNA from 1 species
GAUGAACGCUGGCGGCGUGCCUAAUACAUGCAAGUCGAGCGAACAGACGAGGAGCUUGCUCCUCUGACGUUAGCGGCGGACGGGUGAGUAACACGUGGAUAACCUACCUAUAAGACUGGGAUAACUUCGGGAAACCGGAGCUAAUACCGGAUAACAUGUUGAACCGCAUGGUUCAACAGUGAAAGACGGUCUUGCUGUCACUUAUAGAUGGAUCCGCGCCGCAUUAGCUAGUUGGUAAGGUAACGGCUUACCAAGGCAACGAUGCGUAGCCGACCUGAGAGGGUGAUCGGCCACACUGGAACUGAGACACGGUCCAGACUCCUACGGGAGGCAGCAGUAGGGAAUCUUCCGCAAAGGGCGAAAGCCUGACGGAGCAACGCCGCGUGAGUGAAGAAGGUCUUCGGAUCGUAAAACUCUGUUAUUAGGGAAGAACAAAUGUGUAAGUAACUAUGCACGUCUUGACGGUACCUAAUCAGAAAGCCACGGCUAACUACAUG